GAGUGAGAAAAAGGGAUUUUUUUUCCUUUUUUUUGUUUUAGGUGGGUUGGAAUUGGAACCCAAAAAAACCCGGUUUUUGUAGGUACCCAUUUGUCCUUUUUUUCACUUUACAAGUUCUAUCCUUUUGCCCAUUUCAAUCUUUCAUCUUCUCGAACACGCAUUUCUCAGACUGCCCUUUAUCUCUUUUUCUCCCUUUUUUCUUUAUCUCUCUCUCUUUAUUUCUCUCUAUGGAAGCUGAGGAACGAGAAGAAGAAGAAGGCCAAAGAAGCAAUUUUGUUUGAGGGGAAUGUUGUCUGGCUCGAGGCCACUGAUUACUGAAUCUGAAAUGGGAUCGAAAAAGAGAACCAAAAAAUCCUCUCUUUAUCUAAUUCUAAUUCACUUGAAAAUUACGACAAAUCGGCCAUUACAGAAGCAGUGUCGUCGGACCAGGCUUCAUUCCCCCCACAAUUCUUGCUUCGAUUUGCAGAAGAGAAACAAAGAACCCCCAAAUCGAUCGCUGCUGCUUCAUCGGGUUCUCCUCCUCCUCCCGAUCUGCAGAUUCAGGGCUGAUUUAGAGAGAGAGAGAGAAAGGUCUACGCUUUCUCUUCUAACUGAUCUUCUAGUCUCACCCUUCAUCAUUGUUCUGAUUUUUCUUUCUUUACUUGCAAUCAUGCCUUUCAGAAUCUUCUUUGUCUGUUUCUCUGAUCCAUAUAUAUUUUCUUUCCAUUUUUUCCCAUUAGGGUUUUCUCUCCAUUUCCCUCAUUGAUUUCAAGUUUGAGUUUUUUUCCUGUUCAAGUUAGAGAUUCAAAAGCUUCUUUUGUUUUCGUGCCUUAAAGGCUUAGAUCCCUGUUGAAGUGCUUUUAUGAAGGGGUUUUUCAGAGUGUGGUGUGAUAAAUAAAGAAAGAAAGACAUGGAUGAGAAUCUGAUUUGGUUCGGUUUCAUGAAGAUCUGCUUCUGUGGCUGUAUAUCUGAGGAAUUUCAGCCUUCAAACUGAAGUUUAGUUUCUGCACAUUGAAGGAUAAAUAGCUAUAACUAAGACUAAUUAGAGUGGGAAUUGGAAAACCUGUUCCUACAUGGACUUGAGAAUCGCUUUCCCCUGUCGAAUAGUGGAUCUUCAGACAUUAUUGCAGGACUUUGAAUGAGCUUGCCAAGAAAAAAUUUAGAUUUUCUAUGGUAAAAAUCACUCCUCUCAUUAUGUUUGACAAAUUAAAAAUUUUAAAUAGAUUUUUAAGUUAUCGGAUGGUGAUUUUGAAAAAUCAUCAUAUUUCAAUCCAUCUUUUCAAAAUCAUUCAUUCGUCGAUCACUCUCAAACAAAUCUUUAAUGCAGACAUGAUAGAUUGAUUAACAAGUGAUUAUUUGACAUAACAUGCCAACUAUUGGCACAAAAGAGUAUGUUAACACGAUAACAAAGGACUUAAAAGCCAAAAAAAAAAGAAGCUUUCAAUGUAUAUGUUGUUUUCUCAUUCCAUUAUUAUUAUUAUUAUUACUAUUAUUUAUUUAUUUAUUUAUUUUUCUCACUCUAUUUUACUUAGCGUCUCUUAUCUCACGUUAUGUCGAAUUAUUAUUAUUGUUGUGGUAAAAGAUUCAUUAUAAUCAAAAUCAAAUACAAGAUACAAGUGGUGAUCUAAAUUCUAACCCACAAAAUGUAGGAAGAAAAAGAAGAGGAAAGAGAGUGAUUUGAAAAGGUGAGGAGAGAGAAAGGAAGAGGAGGAGGGUAAUGGGUGAGUGUACUGUGUAAGUAUAGGGUGUCUGAUGGGGAGGAGUGGUGUGUCUCAUUCUGUCAUCAAUUUUUGAAACUGAGACAUAUGCUCCACAUAAAUGUUUAUAAUUAUUUGUCUGCAUCUCUCUCUCUCUCUCUCUCUUUUUCUCUGUCUCUGAAAAAUCUGAAUCAUUUGUGUUAAAUUAAUAAGAGAAGUCAACAUCAGCAAUUACACACCAUGCACAGUCAAAGAAGCUACUAGGGGCUGUGAUGUGUGUUCUUGUUUUGCCACACCUUUUUGCAAGUGAAAAAACCUAUAAUUUUUUUUGUGCAAAUUAAUCUUGAUUAGACAGAGCCUGAAAAGUAGUGUGGUGGGUUAAUUAGAGGGAAUGUUCUUGGAUUGAGUAUGGAAUUGCCAUUGAAAGCAUUUUGUGAACAUGCAAAUGAAACAAAAGAGAUUAAUUUUUUA